rnacentral:rRNA from 1 species
CGUAGGUGGCAAGCGUUGUCCGGAUUUAUUGGGUUUAAAGGGUGCGUAGGCGGCCUUAUAAGUCAGUGCUGAAAUAUCCCAGCUUAACUGGGAGGGUGGCAUUGAUACUGUAGGGCUUGAGUCGAGUUGAGGUUGGCGGAAUUGACGGUGUAGCGGUGAAAUGCUUAGAUAUCGUCAAGAACACCGAUAGUGAAGACAGCUAACUAAGCUCAAACUGACGCUGAGGCACGAAAGUGUGGGGAUCAAACAGGAUUAGAUACCCUGGUAGUCCACACUGUAAACGUUGAUUACUCGCUGUGUGCGAUAUACAGUACGCGGCUAAGCGAAAGCGAUAAGUAAUCCACCUGGGGAGUACGCCGGCAACGGUG